CCGGCGACCGGCGCACGGGUGAGUAACGCGUAUGCAACCUGCCCGUUUCAGCGGGAUAACCCGGAGAAAUCCGGCCUAAUACCGCAUGUGGCCGAGGGGAGGCAUCUUCUUUCGGCCAAAGGAGGCGACUCCGGAGACGGAUGGGCAUGCGUGACAUUAGCUUGUUGGCGGGGUAACGGCCCACCAAGGCGACGAUGUCUAGGGGUUCUGAGAGGAACGGUCCCCCACACUGGUACUGAGACACGGACCAGACUCCUACGGGAGGCAGCAG
rnacentral:rRNA from 1 species